GGCAGUGUGGUGUAGUGGUUUGAAUGCUGGACUGUGAUUCGGGAUACCAAAGUUCAAAUCUUCAAUUGGCUG